UACGAAGGGUGCUAGCGUUGCUCGGAAUCACUGGGCGUAAAGCGCACGUAGGCGGAUUUCUAAGUCGGAGGUGAAAGCCCAGGGCUCAACCCUGGAAUUGCCUUCGAUACUGGAAGUCUCGAGUUCGGAAGAGGUUGGUGGAACUGCGAGUGUAGAGGUGAAAUUCGUAGAUAUUCGCAAGAACACCAGUGGCGAAGGCGGCCAACUGGUCCGAUACUGACGCUGAGGUGCGAAAGCGUGGGGAGCAAACAGG
rnacentral:rRNA from 1 species